GGCUUUGCAAAGUGGCAAGAUUAUAACCAGUGAGGUUUAUCCAAGGUGCAAUUAUUGCUAAUUGAAAACUUUGCUAACUGGGUGCAUGCCUUUAAUCCCAGCACUCAAACUUGGAAUCUCUAAGAUCCAGGCCAGCCUGGUCUAUAGAG
ensembl:snRNA U4 U4 spliceosomal RNA